rnacentral:rRNA from 1 species
UACGAAGGGGGCUAGCGUUGCUCGGAAUCACUGGGCGUGAAGGGUGCGUAGGCGGGUUUCUAAGUCAGAGGUGAAAGCCUGGAGCUCAACUCCAGAACUGCCUUUGAUACUGAGAAGCUUGAGUCCGGGAGAGGUGAGUGGAACUGCGAGUGUAGAGGUGAAAUUCGUAGAUAUUCGCAAGAACACCAGUGGCGAAGGCGGCUCACUGGCCCGGUACUGACGCUGAGGUGCGAAAGCGUGGGGAGCAAACAGG